CAAGAAGAAUUCAUAUCAUCUCUGAUACGAAAUCAAUGAUUCAAGCCUGAUGUCUAUUUUGAUACAGCCCUGACUGGCAUCAAUGUUGAAUCAUGGAUGAUCAUCAUGAUUGUAUCAUACUAGACUGAUUGCUUUGCAGGCUCCCCAUAAUCCAUGAUACAGGAAUGUAUCAGGCUGAUCCUGAUUGAUAUCCAGCAAAAUUUGACCCAAGACCAUGUACUAUCAUAGGACAGGGACUUUGACCAGAUUUUUGAAGAACUUCAUAAAAAACUAGUUUUAUUGGAAUCAGCUCGAAUUUUCUACAGAACAUACGAACAUGUAUCAGAUAAUUCUGUAGCCCACUAUGUGUGAAAUAUUGCUCAUGUUAGCUCCUUGAGGUGCAACUGUACAGUGAUGUUAAGAUCAAUCAUGAAGUGUGAAACAUACUUCACAGUAGCCCUGUGCUCUGCAUGAUCAUGCAAGACUUAAUCACAUGUUCAUCACAUGCUCUUCAGUUGUUUGAGAAAAAAGGUUUAUCUGUCAUCUGAAAUUUGUUUCAAUAGCUGAUUCUUGAGUUGUUGUGCUUCAAUAAGUCCCUCUGUUCUUCAUCGAUGGAGCCUAAAUCCUGUUUGAUAUUUGUGAUUGUAUUAUGUGCAGUAACUGCUGUCUCUUGCAGUAAAAAUAAAAGAGAGGAAUGGCAGUUGCUUAUUCCUGACGGUAAAAUAACCUCCUCACCUUCAGACAGUGCUGUUAAAAUAGGAGAAAAGCUGACAGUCUUUUGUACCUAUCCUUCUUACAUCCUACCACACAUGCAGAAAAAA